rnacentral:rRNA from 1 species
GACGAACCGUGCGAACGUUGUUCGGAAUCACUGGGCUUAAAGGGCGCGUAGGCGGGCUGUCAAGUCUGGGGUGAAAUCCUCCGGCUCAACCGGGGAACGGCCUCGGAUACUGGCGGUCUGGAGGGAGGUAGGGGCGUGCGGAACUCCGGGUGGAGCGGUGAAAUGCGUUGAGAUCCGGAGGAACUCCGGUGGCGAAGGCGGCUCGCUGGUCCUUUACUGACGCUGAGGCGCGAAAGCCAGGGGAGCAAACGGG